ensembl:lncRNA
AUGUCUGGGUUCUGGAGGCGGGCUGGCCUCGCUCAAAGCCUCUUUGUCUCCGUGGCUCUGCCUGUGUCGAUCUGGCUAGGCAUCUGUGUGCCUUUGUGUGUGUGUGUGUGUGUGUGUGUGUGUGUGUGUGUACCUGAGUAUCUUUCUGGGUCUACAUCAUGGUGUGACUGGAGUCUCUGUGUCUCUCCGAUUCGUGGUACGUCAGUGGGCACAGCACGCGAAGACCCCGACACCGGCCCAGGUGCCCCAGACGCCGCCGAUGCUCAGCAGCCUUUGAAGCCAAGCACAGGCCACCCCCCGCAGUGUCGCCCAUGGCUGCCUGCUGGCCUCUCAGCCCCAGAGCGCCAUCAUCCAGCCCCUCAGGGGCCUCCGACCGCUGGAGGCCUCGUCACCCGUCCUGGAAACAUCUCAAACACACGGACAGUCCAUUCUAAACGUUUCAUUCUUUAUGUGGUGUAUUCAUUUUCUAGGGCUGUUGUAACACAUGCCACAAGUUGGGUGGCUUAGAACAGUCCCGAAGGCCAGAGGUCUGACAUCAGGGUGUUGGUGGCACCUUGCUCCCUCUCGAGGCCCCAGGGAGGAUCCCUCCUGGCCUCUUCCGGCCUCUGGCGUUCCCUGGCCCGUAGACACAUCCCUCCAGUCCUCCCUUCUGCCUUCACACGGCUUUCCCCUGUGUGUAUCUGUGUCUCAGAUCUCCGUCUCCUUGUGAGGCCCACCCGCAAUCCAGAACGCUCUCUCGUCCCGAUCCUUAAUUACAUCAGCAAAGGCCUGAUUGCCAAAUGAAGAAACGGUUCACCUUCCCGGGUACUGGGUGUGUCAGGACUUGGGCAUAUCGGGUGAAGGAACGUAAUCCGGCUCACUUCAUGGCAGCUGUGGUUCUAGAAACUCAACAACAGCCCGUCGACCUGAGCGGUUGAUGAUGACAAAUAACAGAGCCCCCAGGAUUGUCUGGGUUAGAGGUCCCCUAGCACACCUGGCAGCGGGCCCCCCACAUGGUCUCUGGGUAAGCUGAAACACCUGCGGACACAGAAAGCCCAUCACGCCCCGUGCACGCUGGCUUACGAGGGGGCCCGGGGUGGGCGGCCAGGCUGUCAGGAAAUACGGAGGAAGAAGGAAAGGUGCCUCCUGCCUUCCUGAGGGCUCAAGGCUUCGUCGCUUUCCGACACUGAAGGGUAGACCCUGGUGAAACGAAGAUGUCCAGCCAGCUCAGGAGGCAGAAACCGAGCAAGAAAAGGAGCAAGCAUUCCGAAGCCAGGCUCUCCCCGGGACGUGAGUGGGGUGGCGGCAAAGUCCUAUUUCCUGGUCCUUGCGCUACGUCUGCUCUUGCAGAGUGGGCCUGGGGAGGCCUCCCGGCUCUCUGGGCGUCGGCCGUGUGCUGGAAUUGCAAAGGCUGGCCCUUCCUGUCUCAAGGCCACGGUGAGGCUCUCCACCGCGUGGAUCUGGGCAAUCCGUGCCUACGAAGGCCGAGGCUGUUUUCGUGGUUAAGGAAGUAGCUAGAAUGAGAACAGCAGCAGGCAGCUUGCUUUAUGUGAAUCCCGCACCCUCCAGGAGAUCUACAAGGCAGCAAGCGGGCAGGCAAGUGGCAUCGUUGAGCACCGACUGUAUGCCAGGCAUUCUUCUAGGCCAGGGGCUACAAUGUCUCAUCUAACUGUGCCAAGGGCCCUGCGCGGCACAGGCGUUAGGGAACCCGUGUUUUUUUUCAGAGGAGGAAAGCGAAGCAAAAUAUCAACCGAGAUCACAUCGCCAGAAGGUGUUUAGAGAUCUACAAAGAAGUCACCGGCAAGUGGUUUGAGGUGAGGGCCGGGGCGAUGGAGAGGCAGGUUCAUUAUGAAACAUGGAUACAAGUCUUCGAGUCAAAAGGAAUAAAUAAGCAGAUGAUUUCCCUGGAGGGGACUCA